UAAAAAGAUAAUUUAAAUUAAGCUUCUAACUUAAUAUUAAGCAAAAAAAAAUGCUUUAUCUUUAU
rnacentral:tRNA from 1 species